UACGGGAGGCAGCGGUGGGGAAUAUUGCACAAUGGGCGCAAGCCUGAUGCAGCCAUGCCGCGUGUAUGAAGAAGGCCUUCGGGUUGUAAAGUACUUUCAGUCGUGAGGAAGGUGUUAAGGUUAAUAACCUUAGCAAUUGACGUUAGCGACAGAAGAAGCACCGGCUAACUCCGUGCCAGCAGCCGCGGUAAUACGGAGGGUGCGAGCGUUAAUCGGAAUUACUGGGCGUAAAGGGCACGCAGGCGGUUAAUUAAGUUGGAUGUGAAAUCCCCGGGCUUAACCUGGGAAUGGCAUUCAAGCUGGUUAGCUAGAGUCUUGUAGAGGGGGUAGAAUUCCAUGUGUAGCGGUGAAAUGCGUAGAGAUGUGGAGGAAUACCGGUGGCGAAGGCGGCCCCUGGACAAAGACUGACGCUCAUGUGCGAAAGCGUGGGGAGCAAACAGGGAUUAGAUACC
rnacentral:rRNA from 1 species